UGGGGAAUAUUGGACAAUGGGCGCAAGCCUGAUCCAGCCAUGCCGCGUGAGUGAUGAAGGCCUUAGGGUUGUAAAGCUCUUUCGGCGGGGACGAUAAUGACGGUACCCGCAGAAGAAGCCCCGGCUAACUUCGUGCCAGCAGCCGCGGUAAUACGAAGGGGGCUAGCGUUGCUCGGAAUCACUGGGCGUAAAGGGCGCGUAGGCGGACAUUUAAGUCGGGGGUGAAAGCCCAGGGCUCAACCCUGGAAUUGCCUCCGAUACUGGGUGUCUCGAGACCGGAAGAGGUGAGUGGAACUGCGAGUGUAGAGGUGAAAUUCGUAGAUAUUCGCAAGAACACCAGUGGCGAAGGCGGCUCACUGGUCCGGUUCUGACGCUGAGGCGCGAAAAGCGUGGGGAGCAAACAGGAUUAGAUACCCUGGUAGUCCACGCCGUAAACGAUGGAUGCUAGCCGUUGGCAGGCUUGCCUGUCAGUGGCGCAGCUAACGCUUUAAGCAUCCCGCCUGGGGAGUACGGCCGCAAGGUUAAAACUCAAAGGAAUUGACGGGGUCAUAGCUGUUUCCU
rnacentral:rRNA from 1 species